AGGGACCUUCUGGAUAUUUUACGUGAAAGAGGUAAGCUGUCUGUCGGGGACUUGGCUGAACUGCUCUACAGAGUGAGGCGAUUUGAUCUGCUCAAACGUAUCUUGAAGAUGGACAGAAAAGCUGUGGAGACCCACCUGCUCAGGAACCCUCACCUUGUUUCGGACUAUAGAGUGCUGAUGGCAGAGAUUGGUGAGGAUUUGGAUAAAUCUGAUGUGUCCUCAUUAAUUUUCCUCAUGAAGGAUUACAUGGGCCGAGGCAAGAUAAGCAAGGAGAAGAGUUUCUUGGACCUUGUGGUUGAGUUGGAGAAACUAAAUCUGGUUGCCCCAGAUCAACUGGAUUUAUUAGAAAAAUGCCUAAAGAACAUCCACAGAAUAGACCUGAAGACAAAAAUCCAGAAGUACAAGCAGUCUGUUCAAGGAGCAGGAACAAGUUACAGGAAUGUUCUCCAAGCAGCAAUCCAAAAGAGUUUCAAGGAUCCUUCAAAUAACUUCAGGGUGAGUCUGGAGAAAACAUAUGGAAUCCCAGCAUGAAACCAUUUCAGAGUUCUAAUAAAAAUAUGCAUAUUCUCACAGCAUGUACUUUAUUUAAUAUCUGAAAAAAUUGUGAUAGAAAUGUGUAUUUGUUUUAAAAACAUGUAACUUCUUUUAUUUCAAAGCUAAUACAUGUUCAUUGAGAUAUUUGGAGACUAUAGAGAAAGAUAAAAGAAAAUAAAUCAC
rnacentral:sRNA from 1 species